UGACCCCUGCUGUGUUUGUGAUCGGAAGAUGUCCUUUGACCCAACACUAUACAAAGGGGAUCCCUCUCCGGUUUCGGUGUGCAUGUUCUGUCUAUACAGAAAAGCCUGAAGAAACAAACAGGGUUCCCACCAUGAAAAAAAGGCUCAAAGGCCUGCCGACACGGCAUGAUGCGGGGGUCUC
rnacentral:other from 1 species